GAAGUACUCCCUCCAUUCCAAAUUACUCGUCGCAGAAAUGGAUGUAUCUAGAACUAAAAUACAUCUAGAUACAUCCAUACCCGCGACAAGUAAUUCGGAACGGAGGGAGUACUAG
rnacentral:pre_miRNA from 1 species